rnacentral:rRNA from 1 species
UACAGGGGGGGCAAGCGUUGUUCGGAAUUACUGGGCGUAAAGGGCUCGUAGGUGGCCAACUCAGUCAGACGUGAAAUCCCUCAGCUUAACUGGGGAACUGCGUCUGAUACUGGAUGGCUUGAGUUUGGGAGAGGGAUGCGGAAUUCCAGGUGUAGCGGUGAAAUGCGUAGAUAUCUGGAGGAACACCAGUGGCGAAAGCGCGUGACUGGGCCACAACUGACGCUGAGGAACGAAAGCUAGGGUAGCGAAAGGG